CGUCCUACGGGAGGCAGCAGUGGGGAAUAUUGCACAAUGGGGGGAACCCUGAUGCAGCGACGCCGCGUGAGUGAAGAAGUAUUUCGGUGUGUAAAGCUCUGUCAGCAGGGAAGAAGAAAGACGGUACCUGACCAAGAAGCCCCGGCUAACUACGUGCCAGCAGCCGCGGUAAUACGUAGGGGGCAAGCGUUAUCCGGAUUUACUGGGUGUAAAGGGAGCGUAGACGGCAGGGCAAGUCUGGAGUGAAAGGCAGGGGCCCAACCCCUGGACUGCUCUGGAAACUGUCCGGCUGGAUGGCGGGGGGG
rnacentral:rRNA from 1 species